GCACCAAUAGUCUAGUGGUAGAAUAGUACCUUGCCACGGUACAGACCAAGGUUUGAUCCCCGGCUGGUGCA
rnacentral:tRNA from 1 species